ensembl:lncRNA
CCUGUCCGCGGGGCGCGCCCGUCCCGUCCCAUCCCGUCCCGGGGCUGUUCGCCUCGCGCCUGCCCGGCUGUCCCCCCGGGGGUCCCGGCUCAGAUCUAGACGCAGUUCCAGGCAAAGCCUGCCGGUCCUGCGGCUCUGCUGACACAGGGCUCCCAGUCCGCAGCGUGCACAUCACUUCUUCACCACCUUCCUCAGAACUGUCUGUGAGAGCUGUCCGAAGCGCUGAACACUGCCCUCUGCUAUGUACAUGUGCUCCUGCAGUCGUAGAAUCGUAGAAUCAUUAAGGUGCUUCCUCCCGGAGCCGGGGAUGCUUGGCUGGAGGAUGCCGUGCAGCGUCCGUGCUGAGAACCCCAUUUCUGUAUGGUGUCAGUGCUGGGCUUCCACCUGCAGCCCCCCAAUGACCUGUGGGGCCACAGUUCCCAUCUGCAGUGAAUGCAUCCCCGUGUGCAUCCCCACACCUCCCAGCUGAUGUCUGCAGGACUGAUAUACAAUCAACCCCUGGGCCGCCUUAUGGGAGGCGAGCGGUUCGGUUCAUUUUGAUGUAAAUUACUAUGAGAACUCUGAGCAAAGGGCAAAAUUAAAGUCUCAUUUUAAUUUUUCCAUAUCUGGUUCAAAGCAACGCCUUUUAGAGCAACCUAUAAAUGGGCACCCGGGUGGGAGCCCCCAGAGGGACGUCCUCUGUUGGUGUCAGUGACGUGUGAGGUGAAUCCAGUUCUGUACCAUCUGGAUGGAAACAUGUGCCCUGAUCCCAUAAAGGCACCUUCAUACCCAGCCUGACUAAUGGCUCUGUUGGCAUUCUGUGGCAUUCAGACCAGGGAAAAUUACUGAGCAGAUAUUUACUAUAUUGUCAAAUUUAUUUUGAACUCUUCAUGUGGGCCUCUCACCACCUCUCUGCUCAGUUAUGCAAUCUUGAAAACCACAAAUUAAAGCCUCUAAACAGACGCAAUAACAAAUUGUGGUAGCUCUGAAGAAACCCCCAGGAAAAAAUAUUGAUCUCUCAAAGCGACCUCUUCAAACUCUGCUGACAGACAAAAGCCUGAGUAAACACAUGGGUUUGCAACCCCGAAUAUCAACAAACUUUGCUCUGCUGGAUCAGAGAGGGCUGUUCCGAGGCAGAAAAAAGCAUUCAGUCUUAUGGAGAGCGCUUAUAACUGUGCAGGGACUGUGGAAUUGACUUUUUCUCUGUUCCCUGGGAACAACUUUGCUUUAUUUUUAUAGCUUGAAGAAAACUCUUGGAUUGGUGUUUCGUAUUUGGCUGUGGAUGGAGCAGGGUGUGGAGGCAUUUUGCUACAGUGGCCCCACUGCUGCACCUUCCUGCCAUAGGAAAAUGCAGAUAUGCUGUGGGGUGCAGCAGGCUGCUGCUGCAGCACAACGAAACGGGGGCUCUGUGUGGCCCUACAACCCACGCGCUGACGCGUUCAGGCCAAGCACGGCGUUUGUUUGCAGCUAUACAAGUGGGAAAGGGUGAAAUUCCGCCUUGGGUUUCGGGGAGGUUUGAAGAUGUGCCACCGCCAUUCGCAGGUUGGUGUGGCGCUGGAUGUGUUUUGGGAUCACUCUCCCUGCACACCGCAAUGGCCGUGCAUCCCAGCAGGGCGCGGGGAUGGGUUGGGCACCCGAAGGCACUGCGUCUUUCUAGGAAUCCCAACUGCUGCUGCUGCUAACGUGGGAACCCCGUCCUCCUGCUUGCCGAAGGGAUGAUGGCGUGUAUUCUAUAAGAGACAAGAUUUACAAUGGCACAUUUGUCUGUGGGUUGUUUUCACUCUUCUGCACACAGCCCGCGGCUCAGCGGUCGGUGACCUUGCCCCUGCAGACGUCCGUGUGUGUCUGCACGCGUGCACACAGAGCUCACAGCAUUUUCCUUCAUGAGAACUCAGUGGCUGUAGUUUUUCUUGAUUUGAUAAGUGCAAUUAAUAACACUUCAACAUUUCUUUCCACAAACAGGAGCUACUGAGUAAAUUCGGCGACUUAUAAAAACAAAACCUCAAAAAAAAAAAAAAAAAAAGCCGAAAUUAAAAACAUUGGGUGUGCUUUGAUGUAGAGGAUGUGUCGAAAUGGUAUAUUUCUAUGUUUAUUUUUGCAUUUUACAAUUUCCCGGGCAAAGGCAAGCAAUGCUUUCUGACAGGAAACAAAACCUACUUUGGAAGGGUUCCACCUGUCGUGUCAGCCGAGCUCCGUGUCGGCCAGGUGCUUGAGCUGGACUUCAUUGGGGGAGAUGAAAAACCUCCAGCGGGGCUUGGAUCGAGCCUUGAUGUAUGAAUGGAACCAUCCCACCUCUUGUGAGUGGCCACCCAUUGCCAGCGGCUGCAGCGGGGCAUUGCUCGCCUGUCUGGGAUCUGCAAGAAGUAAACGCCACGUGGCUGAAGUCUGGGGUGGGUGAACACUGUUGGCGGUUGUUUGCUCUCAGUGACACCUCUGCAGAGAGGUUACCAUGGGCUGGAGGCUGUGCAUGGCUCUAGUACUGAUUUCCCUCAUAGCCUUUCAUCGCUUUCAAAUGACAGCUCUUUUCCUCCCUCCUGUUUUCUGUUUAUAAAUAUACACGACUCAAAAAACCCAAGCAGAGUCAAGGAGUGAGCUGGUUCUUUGGGAACUGAAGGAAACAGGAGAGCCCUGCACUGCAGCCAGGUCACCAGCAGAGCUGUGGCCUUGGUUCUCCUACCCCACCCCAGCAUUUUUGCCUUUGAGUACAUGACAAGUAUGACAUACGUGCCAAAAAAGUUCCCUGCAUUUAAGCUUUUUACUUCUCCUGGCCCACCCUGCCCCCUUUUGACUGAUUCUGGGUUGAACUGGAGAGGAAUUGGUCAUUUUGGAGGGAAGACUGAUUCCAGAACUACAAUGCAGCACUCAGCUCUCACCCAAAGUGAAGACAUCUCCUGAGCCUGUGAGCCAGCAUGACCCAGUGACAGUCCCCUGAUGUGUUGCGUUCAUAGAAUCAGAGAUUCGUCUCACUUGGAAGGGACCUUUAAACGCCACCUGGUCCAUCCUGGUGCACUGAACAGGGACACCCACAGCUCCAUCAGCUGCUCAGAGCCCCGUCCAGCCUGACCUUGGCUGUCUCCAGGUAUGGGGCAUCCACCACCUCUCUGGGCAACCUGUGCCAGUCCUCAUCGCCCUUAUUGUUAAAAACUUUUUCCUUAUAUCCAGACUAAAUCUCCCCUCUUUUAGUUUGAAACCGUUUCCCCUUGCGCUAUCACUACAGACUCCACUAAAGAGUCUGUCCCCUUCUUUCCUAUAGCCCCUCUUUAUAGCAGGUUCCUGCACCUGUCUCCACACUACUGCCUGCAAGUGCCACACUGUGCCAGCAGCCGGGCAGCUGUGAUAAUAAACCAUAUCGCCUCUGGAGAGAGGGCAUUCUGCUGGAUGUCUUUCUUUUAAUUAUUAUUAUUUUUUUAUUUUAAAUGUGGGUAGAUGUGGCACUGAGGGACAUGGUUAGUGG